GCCUGGGUGGCUCAGUCAGUUAAGCAACUGACUUCGGCUCAGGUCAUGAUCUCACUGUUCGUGGGUUCAAGCCCCGCAUCGGGCU
rnacentral:tRNA from 1 species